AACGCACGAGACCUGCGGACCUGCGGAAGGAUCAUUAUAGAGUGGUAAACCCCCCGUAAAAGGGGGGGACCUCCUGUCCUUUGUAGGCUCUUUUUUAAAAGGGCUUUUUUUAAUUUUCUGCUUCGGUGGGGUUAUCCCACCGGAACAACCUCAAAACUCUUAUCAAAAAAUCGUUCUGUCUGAGAACCUUUUAUAAUAAAAAAAAACUUUUAGCAACGGAUCUCUAGAUCGGAAGAGCAC
rnacentral:misc_RNA from 1 species